CCGCCCUCGAUUUUCUCCCGUACACUCCCAAAUCUCAGUUUACCUUCUUCCCCAACUUCUUCCUCUCCAUUUUCUCUUGACCUGCACAUUAAGCAAAAUCCACUCAAAAAAUGUUGCUACACGAUUUUCCCUUGUAUAAUACUCACAUAUCCCGAUUCCCCUUUCUUUUCAAAUUCGUCUUCUCCAUUUUCGUCCUUACUUCAACUUCACAUUUCGGUUUUCCCUCAAAUUUUUGUUCUUACAUAUUUUUCAAAUUUUUGUCAUUUCUAUGCGACAACACCUCAGCUGGGCAUGGACUCUCGCCGUCGAGCACCUCCUAUCGUGUCAUCUCCAGUAGUUCUCUUCAGGAUGCAAGAUAUGUUCGAGCUUGUAGGAGCACCCUUUGUUGAAAAUUGUUUGGCUGGAUUCAAUAAUUCUGUAUUUGCGUAUGGAGGUGGUAUUUUUCAGUUUUUGUUGUUUCUUUUCUAAUUUUGGUUCUUUCGGGCAAAGGAAUUUUAUAUCCUUUUAUCUUCAUGUAUAAUUGUUUUAAGUUUUUUUGCUACUAUAAACCUUGUCUUCUUUGUUCUUUUGUUGCAUUCUUCUCCCAGAUUAGAGAAGAUGUUAAAUGUGGUGUCUAUGUUGCAAAUCUCAAAGAGGAGUGUGUACAUACCUUGACUCAACUCUUGAUGAAGAGAACUUAACAAAAAAGUACAAAGAUCAUGCAUCAUAGUACUCGAGCACGACAUGGACAUCGUAUGGAGGUUUUUUGUUCUACUAAUCUGUUGGUGUUGUGACUUUCCAGAAAACUCAUAUACAGUUGAAUAGAAGCUUUCCAGAUAUUUGAUGUUUAUUGCUUACACGUUGAAAUAUAUUUAGAGAGUUGCUGAUAUUGCAACUGGUAGCAGUGACCUUGAAGCUAUAUUUAAUUUGUGUCUAAAUGGAAAUGAAGGUAUGUUUUCUUUUUUCUGGUUUUGGUAAAUGACACAUACACGCCCAAUUCUGUUAUAGGAUCUUCUUACUAUUAGGCUUGGCUGGUUACUAUUUGGCAGGCUUCCAUUUGAUUUUGUGAGCAUAAACUUCUACUUUUUUUUUUUUGAUAACUAUAUGAGCAAUAACUUCUAAUAAACCUUAUUUUUAUGCGAUCCUCUCAUCAUUGUCAUUUUCAAUCUUAUUUUCUCAUGUGAGCUUCUGUCAUGUUCUCUUCCACUUGAAUGUUAUUGGCCAAUCCCUUGGUUUUCUUGGAUCCUAUUUAUAUGCCUAUUAUAAACUCAGACUGCAGUAAGUAUAUGAAGCUGCUGCAUGAAAGUUUUCCAUUUGCCAGAGGUAACUAGCUCAAAUGGCUCAGUGUUGCUGCUUUUGUCAGCUAUCAAAUUUUGAUCUAAGGAUUAAAGGUUCUGAGGAAGCAUGUGUUUAUAUAUAUGGUUGUGUGUACUACGACAAGCACCCAUCUAGCACUGCAAUGUGGGCAUCUUAUAAUGUAUUGGUGGUGAGGUAGAGAGACACUUGUAUUCAGUUGGAUACUUAAAAAUAUUAUAUGAGCAUUCUCUAACAAAUAACAAGAACUAAUCUGUUUUCACAUUAAAUGUUUAAAAAAGUUACCACUAGUGUGAUCUCUUUCCUGUAGUUGUCUUGUUCAUUAUUUCCUGUUGAUCAUACUUCUUUUAUUUUGUUCUUAUUUUAUUUGUCUGGUUGCCAUUAAUGCGGGAAGAGGAUUCCUUACAGCCUACUUUAAUAGGAGUUAUAGUGUAAGUUAUCUUCUCGUGCGUAUCUAAAUCUCAUACAUGACUUGCAGUGCCUUUUAACUAAGAAUACUAAUUCAAUUCCAAGGUUUUCUAUCCAAUCUACCAACUUUAUACAUAGAUUGGGUCUCAAUUUGUAUGUACCUGUUAAAUUUGAACAUUAAGAACCUGUGGUACUAACAUGCAAGAUUCAACAAUUAACAUAUAUGCUAUAAAUCAAGAACCAAUUUGUUAACUAUAUAUGGCAUAUUUGGGAAGAAAAAAACUCAUGAAGCUUGAAGUUUUUACCCUUAAUUUCUAGAAGUCCCAUUUGAAUAACUAUGGAUAAUAUCUUUACGACAAACAUCCGAUUUUGGCUAAAUGUGAGCUUACUGAUCAAGGUACAAAGGGAUAAAAUCAAUGAAGACUAAGAAUAUAAUUACUUUCUUUGCAUAUAUACACAUAUGCACUACAAUAAUCCGUGAAAUUAACUAGUUUCUGAAAAAUUUGUCUAUAGAUUUAUACCAGAUGAUUGCUACUUAAAACUUAAAUAGUCAUUUGUUUCGCUACAUAACUUAUGCUUUAUUUCUUGAAUCAGUAAAGUAAUGUAUUUUAGCUAUGAGUCUAGGAAUCUUUUCAAUUCCAGUCUUAUUGUUUAGAUUGUUCUUAACUGAAUUAUGAUUUCCUUUUUACGGUAUUAUUUUCAAAAAAUUGAAAGUGAAAGGAGAAAAGAACAAACAACAAGAUUGCUAGAGGCUUACUAAAAUGCCAAAUCCCAAGUAUGGGUUUGCUUAUCACCUCACCUCCUGUAAGUCCUCCUCUAGCAUAAUCUAUUUUGGGUUUCCUUUGUAAUGUAAUUUCUGGUUCUAACUGAUUGGUUUUGUUUCAAACUUUAUGGGUUCUGACCAAUAUUUUCUUACUUAGGUGAACUUGACUUAGGUUUGGGCUUCUUAUUUGCAUUGGUGAAUGACACAUACAAAAUAUGUGUUAUUCACUUUCAUAGGCUUCUUUUUAUCUCACAGCAGGGGAUUCAUAGUUUGUUAGCUUUGGUUUCAGAAUCUGUAACUAUAUUUUUUAUUACCAUUUCCAGGUCAUGGAUAUGCUUGGGCUAAGUUUGUGGGAUGCUUGGAAUAAUAAGUCACACACAUAAGCUUCUUUUUGAAAUUGAUACUUUCUAUUUGUUAACUACUUUUGUCGGUUGUGCCCAUCUGACCUUAAAACUCAUAUAAGUGACACACGUAAGCUUCUUUUCAAUUUACCAAGGACCACAUUUAUAUCAUUAGUAUUUCAAAUACCCAUAAAAUGCAUGCAAGUUUCAUGUAAAGUGAGUUCUCGGUAACCUAUAGUUUUAUGCCAACAGUUUCUACAAAGAAAUGGGCUAUAGUUUUAACAAUAUUUCUUUCUCUAUUUGAAACUUGUAUUCAAUUAUGUUUAGGCCUCCAUUUUUAUAUGUUAAACUAGUAUUCUGUCUCAGUAUGUAUUUUGAAACAGUCUACUCAAGCUAAUAACUAAGUAAACAACUAAGGAUUUCAUUAGAAUUUUAUAGUUUAUCAAGAAUCAUCUCCUCCUGUGUUUAUGCUAUGCCUACCCAUAAAUCAUGCUUAUCUCUAAUUUUUCUAAAUGCUAGUUCAAUGCUUGUGUAGUUGGGAUUAUAUUUGAAGGAGGGGGGUUUUGAAAUAGGUAUACAACUAACUUAUUGGCUUAUCAAGCUAGUGCAGAAAAUUGACAUGACUUUAGCUCUGAUUCCUCUUAAGUUCUAGCCCCUUAGUUUGCCUUUAUCUCAUCUCUUUAAAUCAACCUCAAUAUGUGACAUUAGGAAUGCCAAAGGACUUUAAAAUCUCAGACCAAAACUAGCUCUAAGUAGUUGGAACUGAGAGGAACAGUAACACACAGCUCCUCUUUUUUCUUUCUACUGAUUCUUUUUAAGUUCUACCUCAAAAGUUUGGAUUUUAUUGGAGGCUGCAGUAGUUUGGGUUUUUGUCCUUUAUUUUUACAGUUUGUAAACCAAUAUCAUGUCCAUGUGCAUUGGAUCAGUUCUAGUCUAUGGCGGUGGGAGCAUUGGGGAAAUGGGGCAGUGCAUAUAAAGGUAUCGAGGAGGCUGGACCUUGUGUAUGGAGGUGGGAGCAUUGGGCUAAUGGGGCUGGUUUAACAAGCAGUUUAUUAUUAUUGUGACGAAAAGUUACCAGUUUAUCUUGAUGGCUGUGUUUGCAUACCAAUCCUACAUCCUCUUGGUGAGGAUCCGAAUGGAAUAUAAGCUUGCAAGUGAAUUCAAGACACCAGUUCAUACUGAAUGUCAUAAAUACUUCAAACUAAAGCUUGCUUGCUUUCUUUUUAUAAAUCUGGUAAAUCUGAGAUUGUAAGUCUUUGCUUCGAGUAGUUUUGGUUCAAGGAAGGUUGUGAUGCUAUGUUCAUAUUCUAAAGUAGUUGUUGAACUGUAGAUUAAAUUACAAAAUGUUUUAUAUUAUUUAAUUGUAAGUGCAAAAUACUAUUAAGCUA